rnacentral:lncRNA from 1 species
CGCCCCCGCCCCGCGAGCCGCUGCGGCUGGACGGCGUGGGGCCCGCCGAGCUCCGGCGCUUCCUGCGACAGCGUGCAGGUAUACUCAUCACCAUAACAUGGUUUCACAUGGUAUGUAAAGGCUUUGUAACAGAACAAGAGCAAAAGGCAGCAAAAAUCCUAGCUGCAUCCUUGAAAAUUGUCAGUGGCUAUUAGUGCUAUUGUUAGCAAGACAACAUCAUGAAAACAACAAAGAAAAACCACUCUUGUCAUGUUUUAAAAAAAAAAAAGUUACAGACUUGGAAAGUGAAGAGGAGCCGAGUGGCACAUUCGGUGGGAAAUUGCAUGGUCAUCACUGAAGUCGUAAUGAUCCCUGGUGUGGGGCAGAGAGCACAGCUUGCUGCCUAAAGUGAGAUCCCAGAGCGAGGUGUGCUGAGCCAUCAGUGCUGUGUGUGGGCUGCUGACUUCCCAGGGAAGAUCAAGACUGGUGCAAGGACCAGAGUGCAAGAUUUUCCCUUUGCCAGCUAUUAGCAUGUAUCUGAAAUCCCAGUUGUCCACCUCAGACUGUAGGAAAACACUGUAUCUCAAUGCCAUGGAUUUAUGCCAAAAAAAAAAAAAAAAGCAGAAAGGAAAUCAGAUUUAUGAGAAAAAGGCAGAAACCUUUCACUGGAACAGUGAUUGCCUAAGGACCGGAUUCUUCUUCUGCUGAAAUGAAUAACUUUCAUGAGGACUUCGAAAAUUGAAUUGGCAUCUGCAUGAGGCAGUGAAGCAGCUGAUGUUGCAUCUCAUGAGAAGAAAUUUACUGAAAUAUUCCACUCAAGAAAUCAAUUAUGUUAAAGCAACCAUCUUAGCUACAAAAAUCAAGCAGAUGGCUCUUUUAGCAAAUCUGAAUGGAAAUGGAAGGAUCCUAAGUGAUUCUGGUGGGCUGGGGUUGCACAUGUAAUGUGCCUAACUUGUGCUAACAAAGAUUCACUGCUAUAGGUGUGUUGCUGAAAUAUAGCAAGUUCACCAAGGUUAAAUACAGCACACAAAAGUAUUUGCUACAGUUGGGUUUGCUAAGGACUUCAGUACAUUUAAAUGAUGGGCAGGAGUUCAUAGACUUUCUACAUCUUCAGUGUUAUUUAUCAGCAAAAGUUAAUAAUAAAUCUUGUUUUUAUUUUGGUAUUUUAUUGUGA